AUUGAACGCUGGCGGCAUGCCUUACACAUGCAAGUCGAACGGCAGCACGGGUGCUUGCACCUGGUGGCGAGUGGCGAACGGGUGAGUAAUAUAUCGGAACGUACCUUAUUGUGAGGGAUAACGCAGCGAAAGCUGUGCUAAUACCGCAUAAUCCCUAGGGGGGAAAGCGGGGGACCGUAAGGCCUCGCGCAAUUAGAGCGGCCGAUACCUGAUUAGCUAGUUGGUGAGGUAAAGGCUCACCAAGGCAACGAUCAGUAGCUGGUCUGAGAGGACGAUCAGCCACACUGGGACUGAGACACGGCCCAGACUCCUACGGGAGGCAGCAGUGGGGAAUUUUGGACAAUGGGGGCAACCCUGAUCCAGCAAUGCCGCGUGAGUGAAGAAGGCCUUCGGGUUGUAAAGCUCUUUUGUCAGGGAAGAAACAGCAGCUCUAACACAGUUUGCGAAUGACGGUACCUGAAGAAUAAGCACCGGCUAACUACGUGCCAGCCGCCGCCGUAACAC
rnacentral:rRNA from 1 species